CUCCCUGUGGCUCAGUUGGUAGAGCAUGGUGUUUGCAAUGGUGUUUGCAACGCCAGGGUUGUGGGUUCAAUUCCCACGGGGGGC
rnacentral:tRNA from 1 species